rnacentral:lncRNA from 1 species
CUCAUCUGUGUAUGUGAUCUACAACAAGGAAUGAGGGAUCGAUGCUAAGGAAAUUGCUAUUCAUCUUUAUUUACUCAGAUGACGAAGGAAACCCAUAGUUUUCCCAAAAAGCUGAAAGAGUACUGAAAUGUAGGACUUACAAAGCAAAAUUUUUCUGUUUUGAAAAGGAAGCCCUAGUGACCAAGGGAUCUAUCUGGAAGGAAAUGGCCUGAAAUGUAAGAAACUGGCCACCCCCACAGAGUGUUAGCUGUUGAGCCUUGUCCAUAGGUCAACCUAUUUACCUUGUCCGUAUUUCAGGCCAAACAUCUGAUCUUCACAGGCAGUGGGAGUAAAACAAGGACGAAUACUAAUAGAGGGCCUGCAUAUCCCACAGGCUUGAACUCAGGCCCCAAGAUCCAGCCAUCAAACACAUGCCUGCCGAUGUUCACUGCAUCUUGACCUCUGAUUUGGCCCUGAACUUUAUGACCCAACAAUUUGUCAACAUUACCCCCAAAAACAUUGAUGGACCUGGACACCUGUUGGGAGAAAUUUCUAAACUAUGCCAGCUGCUUCUCUGUCAGAGGGGAGGCCCCAGAGUCACCUUAGAACUUUUGUUAUUCAGGAGCUCCUGCAGGUGCUCAAGCAACUAAUUGGAAAAAUUAGACCUGACUCUUGCGGCCCUGAAGUGCUGGUUGAAGCCGAUUGAGCUAAUUGCAAGGGGUAACUAAUCUGCCUCAUUUCAACACCCAAGAAAAGCAAUACCUGUUUUUUUUCUGCCUGCUGACUUCUUCAUGCACAUGACCCUAGGACGAAGCCUGUAUUAUCCUCAAGUUUAUGUCUUCAGGAAAUUUUAUCAUUUAGGCCUCUUCUCUUCCCCAGGGACUCUGCUGAAGGGAUGGGCAUUCAUUCAGUAGCCAUGUGUUGAACCCCAUUACUCUGUUUCAUCACUUGGGCCCUGGCUGAUUUGACCAGGGGUAUCUGACCCAAGGCAGACAGUCCAUAAGCCAGUCAGUGAACUGUAUCACCUGGUGCUGAGAGAUGAGCUGAUGGCCAAACUUAUGCUCUUAAACAUCUUAACUAAGAUAUGUAGAGAAUGAGACAUAGAGAAGUCAGAACCUUCCCACACCGCUGGUAGGAAUGUAAAAUGGUGCAGACACUCUGGAAAACAGUCUGGCAGUUCCUCAGAAAGUGAAAUAUUGAAUCACCAUGUGGUCCAGCAAUUCCACUCCUAGGUAUAUGCCCCAGUGAAACAAAAUAUAUGUCCAGAAAAAAACUUGUGUGGCCCCAAGCUCACAGCAGCAUUAUUUUUAAUAGCCAUAGAUGGAAAUGACCCAAAUGUCCAUCAGCUGAUGAGUGGAUAAAUAAAAUGUGGUCUAUCCACA